rnacentral:tRNA from 1 species
GACGCUGUGGACGAAAUUGGUUUAGUCGUCUCCCUUUCAAGGAGGAGGUUGCGGGUUCGAUUCCCGUCAGCGUUA